rnacentral:rRNA from 1 species
GACAGAGGAUGCAAGCGUUAUCCGGAAUGAUUGGGCGUAAAGCGUCUGUAGGUGGCUUUUUAAGUCUGCCGUCAAAUCCCAGGGCUUAACCCUGGACAGGCGGUGGAAACUACCAAGCUGGAGUACGGUAGGGGCAGAGGGAAUUUCCGGUGGAGCGGUGAAAUGCGUAGAGAUCGGAAAGAACACCAGUGGCGAAGGCGCUCUACUGGGCCACAACUGACGCUGAGGGACGAAAGCUAGGGGAGCGAAAGGG